rnacentral:rRNA from 1 species
GUGCGAACGUUGUUCGGAAUCACUGGGCUUAAAGGGCGCGUAGGCGGUCAAUCAAGUCGGGGGUGAAAUCUUGCAGCUUAACUGUAAAAGUGCCUUCGAUACUGAUUGACUCGAGGGAGGUAGGGGCAGGUGGAACUUCCAGUGGAGCGGUGAAAUGUGUUGAUAUUGGAAGGAACGCCGGUGGCGAAAGCGACCUGCUGGAUCUCUUCUGGCGCUGAGGCGCGAAAGCUAGGGGAGCAAACGGG